rnacentral:sRNA from 1 species
ACAUAGAACAGCAGCUGAGUCUUCAGUCAAUCUCAUGCUCAGAGGCCCAUUUGAGAAAACGGCAUUUCCUCUAGUCCUGACUUUGGGGCAGUUCUCUUUUCUGGCCUGCCCUGAGACCGGCUGGCCCACAUGUCCUUCUCUUGCUCUGACACAAGUUCCCCAAGAUGCCCAGGGCAAGUGGGGGGAUUCCUUCUAUCCCACCUGUCUAGGAGAAGGCCAAUACUCAUCUCCCAGGUCCACAAGCCAAGCCAUUCAUAGAAGAAUCACAGAUAUUUUAUUUUCCUGCUGAAACUAACUUAAUUCUACCUAAUUUGGGUGGGGAGUAGUUGGCCAAAUCAUGAAAUUGUUAACUUUUUGCUAACAUAUUGUGUAAUCAACCCUAGAUGUUAAAAAAUGUUUGCUUGUUUCUUUCAUGCAAAUACUAAUGUAGCCCUUUUUUCUUAGCGUAUAGCUUCUGGCCUGGGCUUGGCCUGGAUUGUUGGACGAGUUCUUUAUGCUUAUGGCUAUUACACAGGAGAACCCAGCAAGCGUAGUCGAGGAGCCCUGGGGUCCAUCGCCCUCCUGGGCUUGGUGGGCACAACUGUGUGCUCUGCUUUCCAGCAUCUUGGUUGGGUUAAAAGUGGCUUGGGCAGUGGACCCAAAUGCCAUUAAAGAAUUAUAGGGGUUUAAAAACUCUCAUUCAUUUUAAAUGACUUACCUUUAUUUCCAGUUACAUUUUUUUUCUAAAUAUAAUAAAAACUUACCUGGCAUCAGCCUCAUACCUAAAA